UAACACGUGAGGGAACCUACCUUCAAGUGGGGAAUAACUGCCAGAAAUGGCAGCUAAUACCGCAUGUGGCUUUCCGAUGGCAUCUUCGGAAAACUAAAGAUUUAUCGCUUGGAGACGGCCUCGCGGCCUAUUAGCUAGUUGGUGGGGUAACGGCCUACCAAGGCGAUGAUGGGUAGCUGGUCUGAGAGGACGAUCAGCCACACUGGGACUGAGACACGGCCCAG
rnacentral:rRNA from 1 species